rnacentral:rRNA from 1 species
GACGUAACGCUCGGCGGGCGGUGCUUAACACAUGCAAGUCGAGCGGACGGAGGGCGUUCGGCCCGAAAGUCGAGCGGCGGACGGGUGAGUAACACGUGAACAAUCUGUCCCAGACAGGGGGAUAACAGUCUGAAAAGGCUGCUAAUACCGCAUAAGACCACAGCUUCGCAUGGAGCAGGGGUAAAAGAUUUAUCGGUUUGGGGUGAGUUCGCGUCUGAUUAGCUAGUUGGUGAGGUAACGGCCCACCAAGGCGACGAUCAGUAGCCGAUCUGAGAGGAUGACCGGCCACAUUGGAACUGAGACACGGUCCAAA